rnacentral:rRNA from 1 species
GGCCGCGGUAUCCUAACCGUGCAAAGGUAGCGUAAUCACUUGUUCUUUAAAUAAGGACUAGUAUGAAUGGCAUCAUGAGGAUUAAUUUGUCUCUCAAAACAAAUCUAUGAAACUGAUCUUUCAGUACAAAAGCUGAAAUAAUAACACAAGACGAGAAGACCCUGUGGAGCUUAAAGAUUUUCAGUUGGGGCGACUCCGGGGAUAAACAAAACCCCCAGACAGACCCAAUAAAUUGAUUAAUGAACCAAGUUACCCCAGGGAUAACAGCGCAAUCUUCUUUUAGAGUCCCUAUCGACAAGAAGGUUUACGACCUCGAUGUUGGAUCCGGAUACCCAAAUAGUGCAGCCGCUAUUAAUGGUUCGUUUGUUCAACGAUUAAAAUCCUACGUGAUCU